rnacentral:lncRNA from 1 species
UCAUUGCCUGGAAGAACUGCGGGAGCGCCUUCAGGAGGAGUCCAGGGCCAGAGAGCAGCUGGCUGUCGAGCUAAAUAAAGCUGAGAGUGUCAUUGAUGGGUACUCGGAUGAAAAAACUCUCUUUGAAAGGCAAAUUCAAGAAAAAACCGAUAUAAUAGAGCAUCUUGAACAGGAGUUAUUAUGUACAAACAACAGACUCCAAGAGCUGGAGUCAGACCAGCGCCGGAUGGAAGAGGAACGAGAGCUGCUGUCCAGGCAGAGGGAGGCGAUGAGGGCAGAUGCUGGCCCGGUGGAGCAGCGUACGUACUGAAACUUUGUAUCUUCCAGUUCCUGCUCUGUUUACAGCUGUCAGAUGCUCCCUGACAGGUUGUCCUCUUCAGUGCCACUAUUUACAUAUUUUAUAUAUGAAUCUGAAAAAAUCUUAAGAAUAAAGGCAAAUUGUUAGUAGCCAUUUUUUAUUAAAUCAUAUUUUCUAUUUAGCCUUUUAAGGAUAUUAACUGUUAACAGGAAAAGAAGAUUACUUAUGCUGAAACAUCUGUAUC